GAUGAACGCUGGCGGCGUGCUUAACACAUGCAAGUCGAAUGGAAAGGCCCAAGCUUGCUUGGGUACUCGAGUGGCGAACGGGUGAGUAACACGUGGGUGAUCUGCCCUGCACUUCGGGAUAAGCCUGGGAAACUGGGUCUAAUACCGGAUAGGACGAUGGUUUGGAUGCCAUUGUGGAAAGUUUUUUCGGUGUGGGAUGAGCUCGCGGCCUAUCAGCUUGUUGGUGGGGUAAUGGCCUACCAAGGCGUCGACGGGUAGCCGGCCUGAGAGGGUGUACGGCCACAUUGGGACUGAGAUACGGCCCAGACUCCUACGGGAGGCAGCAGUGGGGAAUAUUGCACAAUGGGCGCAAGCCUGAUGCAGCGACGCCGCGUGGGGGAUGACGGCCUUCGGGUUGUAAACUCCUUUCGCUAGGGACGAAGCGUUUUUGUGACGGUACCUGGAGAAGAAGCACCGGCUAACUACGUG
rnacentral:rRNA from 1 species